rnacentral:rRNA from 1 species
UACCAGCACCCCGAGUGGUCGGGACGAUUAUUGGGCCUAAAGCAUCCGUAGCCGGUCAUGCGAGUCCUCCGUUAAAUCCAGCCGCUCAACGGUUGGGCUGCGGAGGAUACUACGUGGCUAGGAGGCGGGAGAGGCAAGCGGUACUCAGUGGGUAGGGGUAAAAUCCUUUGAUCCAUUGAAGACCACCAGUGGCGAAGGCGGCUUGCCAGAACGCGCUCGACGGUGAGGGAUGAAAGCUGGGGGAGCAAACCGG